CGAAAUAAAUUUCAGUAUAAAAGAUUAUGUGAUGAGCUACUCCUCUUCACAGAAAAAAAAAAAUGAACAUCUUCAACAAGAAAUCAAUAUUGAUUCUCUUUGCUAUCACUCUUCUUAUCUGUUCUUCGUAUGCCGAUGAUCACAUUCCUGAACCUGAGUUACGAGAUUCUAAGGGCUUCUCCCAAAUCGCUCAACGCCUAGGAUACCUGGCAAAGACAAAAGUGCCUUAUGAUAAGAUUAAUAAGUAUAAAGUUAAGAUAGGGAUCAAAACUUUUAAAGCAGGUUACGAAAUCGCCGGCUUUGCGUGUGUAAAGUCGUGCAAUGCAGCACCUAACCCUUCUUGCAGUAAACCAUACUGUAUUUAUGGAUAUGUUAAAAGCUUGGGUAAGAGUUAUUGUAGAAAGACCUGCACCAAACCAGUUGAAAAUUGCACUUACACCUUGGCAGGGCCAGGACGUGGUACCUAUACAUGUGCUAAGUAAAACAACACCUUACUAGUGUUUUAUAUUGGGUUACAUUUGUUAGUUGUGCUAAACAACUUUUAACGAAUGAUUCCCACAUUAAAACAAAUGAUUGAUCUCAGUUAUAUUUUGCCUCCUAUGUAUUGUAUUGUACCGUAUUGUGUUGUGCGGUAUUGUUUGUUAUUGUAUUGUAUAUCGAACAUCCAUCCAAGUCUACUAAUCAUGGUGGUGUAGUUCCUUGUUAAGCUACAGUUGAAUAAGGAUUACUAUUUUACUUUUGUUUAA